CAGUCGCCGCGGGAAUACAGAGGGUGCGAGCGUUAAUCGGAUUUACUGGGCGUAAAGCGUGCGUAGGCGGCUUCUUAAGUCGGAUGUGAAAUCCCUGAGCUUAACUUAGGAAUUGCAUUCGAUACUGGGAAGCUAGAGUAUGGGAGAGGAUGGUAGAAUUCCAGGUGUAGCGGUGAAAUGCGUAGAGAUCUGGAGGAAUACCUAUGGCGAAGGCAGCCAUCUGGCCUAAUACUGACGCUGAGGUACGAAAGCAUGGGGAGCAAACAGGAUUAGAUACCCCCGUAGUCCCUGUCUCUUAUAU
rnacentral:rRNA from 1 species